ACACUUCGGUUUCCGUUAUUCUGACGUUAUUUCCCCCUUUCUCUAAUCACGGCCAGCCAACAUGUCGCUUGCGAAAGGAGUCUACAAUAUGCUCUUCAGGAGAACAUCUACUUUUGCCAUUACCAUCAUGUUCGCAGCAGUGUUUUUUGAAAGAAUAUUUGACCAAGGAGGAGAUGCCAUAUUCGAGCAAUUGAAUCGGGGGAAACUCUGGAAACACAUCAAAUACCAAAACGAGGAAUAAAGAAGUGGCCUUAUGUUGCGGCAGAAAUGAAGCAAACGCCACACUUCAAUUUCCAUUCCUGAGUCGGUCUUCGUGAACCAUCACCUGCAUUGACCUGUCACUGCGAAGCCGAUUGUUCGCUAUCAGAAACUCCAUGGCAUGGGACUUUAAAAAAAGACUGAUCAAAACAUGGAAGUGUUUCAACUUGACCUUGUAUACUGUGAUCUCCUCUCCCUCACCAUUUGUAAAUGUGCUGAUACUUUAAAACUGUUAAUGCAUUCAAAGGAAACAUGUUUUGAUUUGUAGAAUCAGUUAAGUAAGCUAGCUCGCCAUCAACUGUACUGGACAUUUGUCUCUUGUUAGAUAUUGCACACUGUUACCCCACCACAUCUACUAUUUUAGCAUUGCGUUGUAGAAGGUAACAAGAUGUCUAGUUAAUCACUUUAGUACAGUGCUGUAGAGUUCUGUCGUGGAGAUUGUUUUGCAUUGCACAUCAAUAACUUGGGACUGUGGGGGCAGUAAUAUUUGGCCCAUUUUUCUAUUUAUUAGGAUCCCAUAACUGGUAAUGAGACCUGAUUGUGUUGCCAUUCGGUAUGACUAUGGACUUAUUGAAUAGUGUUAUUAAUGGAUGCUGUGAGAAGCAUGCAAACGUCAUAAAUGGCACCUAUCCACAAGUCAAAGAAAGCGCAAAUCCAAUACAGUUCAAAGGUCAACAGCACUGGGUUUAUCCUUCAGUCAGUCCAAGAAGAAACACAGGCCUAUUCCUAAUUAGAUUAGCUCAACUUCUGUGUCCUCUCUAGCCUCCUUUUGAACAGGUCAAGGUGAGCCUGUGAGAAGACAAAGUGGACACAUCCGCUUGUAUGAAAUUACUCCAAUUGCGCAUCAGGCAAAUUACUUACAUUUAUUUUAGGAUUCCACCCUGUAUCUAGUUGUGCAAUACAUUUAAUAAAGGGUUAAGUAGCAUAUUGUUCUUAAAUGUCUGCAUGCUCUUCUCCUUCGGGAAAAUAAUAGCUGAUUCAAAGGGGGUAGGAUACACUUGUCUAUUCAGGUAGAAUAUACCUGUGCUUCCUUGCCAGAAGGAUUAAGGGAGGACCAUGGGAGAUUCUCUUAUGGGAAAAAAAGACCAUCCUCUUGCCUCAGUCCUCCUCUGUGACCCGGAAAUCGAUGUGGUAGAGGAAUGUGUCAAUUCGUUAGGACACUCUGUUUGCCUACUAACUUUUAUUUGUUUGGAUCACUUUACACAUUUUAUUUGUGCUUCACCCCUGUAAACAUAAGUUGCCUUUUGUGGAGGUUCUCCUGUAAAUGUAAUUUGCCUGAUCUCCUCUCCCUCACCAUUUGUAAAUGCUGAUACUUUAAAACUGUUAAUAAAUUCAACAUAAACAUGUUUUGAUUUGUAGAAUCAGAUAAGUAGCUAGAUAAUCAUCGACUGUACUUGAGUCUCAUUUGGAGGAGCCAUUUCAUACAAGCGGAUGUGUCCACUUUCCGCCGUCUCGCCUUGGUUAUCUUUUACCUGUUCAAACAGGCAAGAGAGGACACAGGAGUUUGUCCUUCUCCACAGAAUUGCCUGUCUCAUUUCAAGCAAGUGCAUUUCCAUCCGCUAUCACUCUCAAUUUAACUUUGACCUUUUCAAAAGGAGUUGAGAGGAGGCAGGAGGUGAGCUAAUUUAAUAAAAGGCCCAUCUUCUGAAUUGAAACACUCUUGGUGAGGGAGGACAGACUUUUGCCAAAAUGAGAGAACCCCAAAGGUUAUUUAUCAGAAUAUCAGAAGAUGGUUGUCGGUAACCGUUCGCUCACAAGGCACUGCUGUCUUUGGUUUCCCUCACUGGGAGAAUUGAUCUAUGGUCACAGGUGUGACAGCCAGGUCUGGCUCUGUUGGGUAACACACAGCCUCAGUCCCCAACGACCGGUUGUUCAGUUUUUCAGGGGAAAUGGAAAGAGCCUGUGAAGCAACUUUUUGAAUGUUAAUAAGGUGACACUCAAUCUUCUCCACAUUUAUGGGAUUGGUAGAACAGUGCAGAAGAGAUCCCCAAACAGUUUUCUUUUCUUCUCGUCAAGACCAGUAUGUAAUGGGAUCGACACUGAAGAAAAAUACAAACUAAACUGUUUCAAUUAUUUUAAGUUACAGUUCAUAUAAGGAAAUCAGUCAAUGUAAAUAAAUUAAUUUGGGCUUAA